rnacentral:misc_RNA from 1 species
GCCAAUAGAAGACGCCACACCAAGAGCCACCCACCAUAAUCCAAACUGGAGAUAUCUACCAACCUCCUCAACAUGCUUUACAUGAGGACCAUCGGUUGUCACAAGCAGUAUUAAGGCAAGUCCAGCAAUCAUACUGAAAAGCAUACACCAUCGAUGCGACAAAAGAUAUGCUAUCGACCUCAUAAGAUACUGCAUCAUUGCCAUACUGAAAAGCUUGAGUGUUCUGAAAGGCUGUGUCAACAGAUUCAAAUUUUCUAAAUCCUUUUGAUGCUUCGCAGUAAGAUCUGAAAUUGCCAUCUCUUUAACUGGAGAAGCAGAACGAGAAUUUUUCUGUGAUGCUGUUUUCUUCUUCGACCCCAUUGCUAAUUG